UACACUCCUGCGGGAGGCAGCAGUGGGGAAUUUUGGACAAUGGGCGAAAGCCUGAUCCAGCCAUGCCGCGUGCAGGAUGAAGGCCUUCGGGUUGUAAACUGCUUUUGUACGGAACGAAACGGCCUUUUCUAAUAAAGAGGGCUAAUGACGGUACCGUAAGAAUAAGCACCGGCUAACUACGUGCCAGCAGCCGCGGUAAUACGUAGGGUGCAAGCGUUAAUCGGAAUUACUGGGCGUAAAGCGUGCGCAGGCGGUUAUGUAAGACAGUUGUGAAAUCCCCGGGCUCAACCUGGGAACUGCAUCUGUGACUGCAUAGCUAGAGUACGGUAGAGGGGGAUGGAAUUCCGCGUGUAGCAGUGAAAUGCGUAGAUAUGCGGAGGAACACCGAUGGCGAAGGCAAUCCCCUGGACCUGUACUGACGCUCAUGCACGAAAGCGUGGGGAGCAAACAGGAUUAGAAACCCGAGUAGUCC
rnacentral:rRNA from 1 species